GACGAACGCUGGCGGCGUGCCUAAUACAUGCAAGUCGAGCGGAUCUCUUCGGAGAUCAGCGGCGGACGGGUGAGUAACACGUGGGCAACCUGCCUGUAAGACUGGGAUAACUCCGGGAAACCGGGGCUAAUACCGGAUAACCCUUCGGACCCCAUGGUCCGGAGCUGAAAGACGGUUAUGCUGUCACUUACAGCAGGGCCCGCGGCGCAUUAGCUAGUUGGUGAGGUAACGGCUCACCAAGGCGACGAUGCGUAGCCGACCUGAGAGGGUGAUCGGCCACACUGGGACUGAGACACGGCCCAGACUCCUACGGGAGGCAGCAGUAGGGAAUCUUCCGCAAUGGACGAAAGUCUGACGGAGCAACGCCGCGUGAGUGAAGAAGGUUUUCGGAUCGUAAAACUCUGUUGUUAGGGAAGAACAAGUACGAGAGUAACUGCUCGUACCUUGACGGUACCUAACCAGAAAGCCACGGCUAACUACGUGCCAGCAGCCGCGGUAAUAC
rnacentral:rRNA from 1 species